AACGCGAAGAACCUUACCAGGUCUUGACAUCCCAGUGACCGCUCUAGAGAUAGAGUUUUUCUUCGGAACACUGGUGACAGGUGGUGCAUGGUUGUCGUCAGCUCGUGUCGUGAGAUGUUGGGUUAAGUCCCGCAACGAGCGCAACCCUUAUUGUUAGUUGCCAUCAUUCAGUUGGGCACUCUAGCGAGACUGCCGGUAAUAAACCGGAGGAAGGUGGGGAUGACGUCAAAUCAUCAUGCCCCUUAUGACCUGGGCUACACACGUGCUACAAUGGUUGGUACAACGAGUCGCAAGUCGGUGACGGCAAGCAAAUCUCUUAAAGCCAAUCUCAGUUCGGAUUGUAGGCUGCAACUCGCCUACAUGAAGUCGGAAUCGCUAGUAAUCGCGGAUCAGCACGCCGCGGUGAAUACGUUCCCGGGUCUUUACACACCG
rnacentral:rRNA from 1 species